UUAAGUUAUCUGUUUCUCAGUGUGCUGCUUCCAUGGAUGUCAGUGUUGGUGCUUUCAGCGACCCUGAUGGCCUGGAGGGCCUUGCCCAUUUCCUUGAGCAUAUGCUGUUUUAUGCUAGUGAAAAGUACCCCUUGGAGGAUAGUUACUCAAAGUACAUCAUCGAG